CAUCAUAUGACACAGUUGCAGCAGCCAUAAAGGAUCCACUCGUCUUGGCCAAAUUGCAGUUCUACGCAGCAAUUGCCAGGACCUUCAAUUCCUUCCUGAAAAAAUAUCAGACGGAUGAGCCUGUGCUCCCAUUCCUCCCCUCCAGGACCUGUCCGAGUUGAUGAUGAGUCUACUCAGACGCUUCAUAAAAGUACUACACGAUAUCACUGCCCUGCAGCUGACCAAACUGGAUGUCACAGACAAGACCAUCUGGCUCAGCCCACAAGACAUCAGCAUUGGUCUAGGUGCAGAGUCAGUCCUUUAGGGGAUGUCAUACUGCAGCAGUUUGACAGUCUCCUGUCCUUGGAGAGCCGGAGUGAGGACUUCCUCUCCUUUCAACCCAUGCAGAAGAGGCUGGACAUCUUCCUGAGCAGCGCCAUGGAGCCUUAUCCCGAGCUGUGGGCCUUCUGCAAGAAGCUGCUCAUCCUCUCCCACGGUCAAGCUACAGUUGAGCGUGGAUUCUCAAUCAAUAAAGAGGUGGAGUCUGAUAACUUGGCGGAGGAUACUGUGGUCACACGGAGACUGGUGUGUGACUACAUCAUACAACAUGGAGGUGUUACCAAGGUUCCACUCAGUAAACCGCUACUGGAAAGUGUAGCAAGGGCAAGGACAAGGUAUCGUACCCAUCUGGAGACCAAAAGAAGGAACAGGGAGGCAAAAGACCAGGCUCUCAAGAGGAGGGAAGCAGAGGACUGUCUUGAGGAGCUGAAGGUUAAGAGGAGACGUGUACAGGAGGUAUCUGAGGGUCUGGCUAGGGAUGCGGACAAGAUGGCUGAGGAGGCUGAAGCGAAGGCAGGGAGCAAGAUGGCUUGCCUGAUCACCAGGUCAAACAUCCUGCGGAGAGGCCAUAAGGAGAAGUUGGCAGAACUGGCUCUCCUUGAUAAAGAGAUCGCUGCUAAGAGUGCAGAACUUAGGAGUUGACUGUGUGAUCAUAAUUUUAUUUAUUGUUGAGUUGAUUUUCAUUGUUUAUUGUUCAGGAGUCUGUGCUGUUGGCGUAAGUACUCACCACUAUGCUGCAAUAUUCCAUCAUUCCAUAAUGCUUUACAGUCC
ensembl:lncRNA